AACAGCAGUCAUAUCUCCCUGCAACUCACAACUGACAGCACACUGAAGCUGAGCAGGGUUGAGCCUGAUCAGUACCUGGAUGAGAAACCUCCUGGGAAAAACUAAGGUUUCUGCUGGAA
rnacentral:rRNA from 1 species